GCAAGUCGAGCGGUAACAGGACUAGCUUGCUAGUUGCUGACGAGCGGCGGACGGGUGAGUAACGCGUAGGAAUCUACCUAGUAGUGGGGGAUAGCCCAGAGAAAUUUGGAUUAAUACCGCAUACGCCCUACGGGGGAAAGGAGGGGAUCUUCGGACCUUUCGCUAUUAGAUGAGCCUGCGUCGGAUUAGCUAGUUGGUGGGGUAAAGGCCUACCAAGGCGACGAUCCGUAGCUGGUCUGAGAGGAUGAUC
rnacentral:rRNA from 1 species